rnacentral:rRNA from 1 species
AGAUUGAACGCUGGCGGCAUGCCUAACACAUGCAAGUCGAACGGGAGUAGCAAUACUCUAGUGGCGGACGGGUGAGGAAUACGUAGGAAUUUGCCCUUAAGUGGGGGAUAACCCGGGGAAACCCGGAUUAAUACCGCAUGACCUCGAAAGAGCAAAGUGGGGGAUCGCAAGACCUCACGCUUUUGGAGAAGCCUACGUCGGAUUAGCUAGUUGGUGAGGUAAUGGCUCACCAAGGCGACGAUCCGUAACUGGUCUGAGAGGAUGAUCAGUCACACCGGAACUGACGACACGGU